rnacentral:rRNA from 1 species
UUGCCCUACGGGACGCAGCAGUGAGGAAUAUUGGUUAAUGGGCGGGAGCCUGAACCAGCCAAGUCGCGUGAGGGAAGACGGUCCUAUGGAUUGUAAACCUCUUUAGGCGGGGUGCAAUGCCGGGCACGUGUGCCCGGAGGGAGAGUACCCGCAGAAUAAGCAUCGGCUAACUCCGUGCCAGCAGCCGCGGUAAUACGGAGGAUGCGAGCGUUAUCCGGAUUUAUUGGGUUUAAAGGGUGCGUAGGCGGAUUGUUAAGUCAGCGGUAAAAUGUCCGGGCUCAACCCGGGCCGGCCGUUGAAACUGG